GAGGCAGGAGAAUCGCUUGAACUCAGGAGGCAGAGCUUACAGUGAGCCGAGAUUGUGCCACUGAACUCCAGCCUGGGCGACACAAUGAGACUCUGUCUCAAAACAAAACAAAACAAAACAAACAAACGAACAAAAAACAAAUAUAAUUUUAAAGUCAUUCUCUCAUCCCAGAAACAUCCCUGCUGGCCUAUGAAGUGCCAGCCACUGUUCUAUACAUUGGAGACAUUCUAAUAGCAGAAGACGGAACAGAAAAGGAUUUUUAAAAAAGUAAAACAGAGAUAGACAAAUGAGUUUUGCAAGGGCAAGCAUUUGCUAUUUUAUCUAGGAUAAGCAGAGAAGGCCUCUUUUAUGGCAUUUGAGCAGACAGCUGACAGAAAGGGAGAAAACCAUGCAAAAAAUGUAGAAAAGUCACUGCAAACAGAGGGAAGAGCAAGUGCAAAGGCCCUGGGGCAUGUGUAUGUUUACCAGCUGGCCCUGGGGCGUGCAUAUGUUUGGUGUGCACCAGGAAGAGGACCAAGGCCAAGGUUCUUUCUCUGAGUAAGGGUUUUGAACUGAGGCAUGACAGGAUCUGACUCAUGUUCUAGAAGAAUCACUGUGAUGGCUGGGUGAAGAAUUGCAGCGGGGCAGGAAUGAGAACAGGAAGAAUUGUAGUGGGGUAGAAGUGAGAGAGAAGUGAAACCCAGUUGGAAGGAAGGUGACUGCAAUAGUCCAGAAUUAACACUGAGUGGAUUGAAGAUGACAGCUCCCGAUCUUACUGCUCUCAUUCCCCACCAAAUCAGAGAUGGAGGGGAAGAAGCCCUCACCACCCUCCAUCCCUGCCACUUGCCUUAGUCCUGUGAAGGAGUCACAGCCUUAAGAGUGCUCUGGUGACUGCUUUGAUCGACCAGAUUUGAUAGAUCACAAGAAUGCCAUUAUGGACGACAGUUUUUUUCCUGUGUAUUGGACAUAAUAGAAAUGAAGUUAAAACCAAAAGCUUGAGUCUCUAAGGCAGCAUUCCCAAAACGGUCUGCCCUUACCUAUUUUGAAAGAGUCACAUGACUUCAUCCGGGACCUGAAAUGGAUUUUCUCCAUCUUAAAAUCUCAUGGCCUACGAAUGACAUUAUUCACUGAACACUCAUCCAAAGUGGCAGCAGCACGGAAUGGAGGAGGGUCACUGCUCCCUAACAAAUCACACCGUCGAGCAGCACAACACACAUCCUGUAUGUUUAAGUCAUGACAACUAUAUGACCCUCUCGCUGACUAAUGAUCAACAAAUGAGCCUCCAAAGGCCAUUAUCGAAACUCUUAUGCUCAUAUUCUAGCCCAAAAUGCACAUUUGGGGAUGGGGAAAGUGGUCUCAGGUCUGAUUCAUUGAAUAAAUAUAUCUCCUUUGAUGGAAAGAAAUGACAAAUGUCGUGCCUUCCUCUUCCACUCCUAUAAAUGCUAGAAGUGCAGAGUGAAAGG
rnacentral:lncRNA from 10 species